UACGUAGGUGGCGAACGUUAUCCGGAAUUACUGGGCGUAAAGGGUCCGCAGGCGGAAGGGCAGGUCUGGCGUGAAAGCUCCCGGCUUAACUGGGAGAGGCCGCUGGAAACCGCCCAUCUUGAAUCUUGCAGAGGUCGGUGGAAUUCCCGGUGUAGUGGUGGAAUGCGUAGAGAUCGGGAGGAACCUCGAAAGCGAAGGCAACCGGCUGGGCAAAGAUUGACGCUGAGGGACGAAAGCGUGGGGAGCGAACAGG
rnacentral:misc_RNA from 1 species